rnacentral:lncRNA from 1 species
AUCCCUAGGAAUACCAGCUGAUGUCAGUCCGCCAGCCAAAACCAGGGAGGAGAAGCGGGAGCCAGCCCUCUGGAGUCGGGAGAAGGAAGAAGGUGCCACAGCUCUUCAGGACCACGGUUGGGAGAAAGAAUGGAGGGGUUUUAGAACCUUCAGUGUGCGACUUCAUGUGCCAGUCUUCAUCUCAGGAUCUCAAGCUCUUGGAUCAUGGGCACGGAUAACCUGUUGUCCUCCUCUAUGGUCAAGAGGCUGCUUUUGCAAAGAAUCCAGUGGGAGAGAGUCAAUGGCCUGCUUGACGUGAACUCCAAAGUCCUCCUGGAACAGGGGCUCACUCUGUUGCCCACAUUGGAGUGCGGUGGAAGAAUCAUGGCAUGCUGCAGUCUUGAGCUUCUAGGCUCAAGAGAUCCUCCUGGUUCAGUCUCCCAAGUAGCUAGGACAGCAGGCAUAUUUUUUGUAGAUAUGGGGGUCUUGCUUUUUUGCCGAGGCUGGUCUCGAACUCCUGGCUUCAAGCAAUCUUCCUGCAUCAGUCUCUUAAAGUGUUGGGAUUCCAGGCAUGAACCACU